AAACAGAGUUUUGCUGUCACCCAGGCUGGAGUGCAAUGGCGUGAUCUCGGUCCACUGCAACCUCCACCUCCCAGAGAAAUGCAUUAAAGCACCAACUGCCAUGCCAGAUGGCUCUGGCACUCAGGUCUGCCUCUUUCUCCCACUGGCAUCUGAAACACAGCAGCCCUG